GUGAGGAAUAUUGCGCAAUGGAGGCAACUCUGACGCAGCCAUGCCGCGUGCAGGAAGAAGGCGCUACGCGUUGUAAACUGCUUUUAACCGGGAAGAAACCCCAGGACGUGUCCUGGGUUGACGGUACCGGAGGAAUAAGCACCGGCUAACUUCGUGCCAGCAGCCGCGGUAAUACGAAGGGUGCAAGCGUUAUCCGGAUUCAUUGGGUUUAAAGGGUGCGUAGGCGGAGCGUUAAGUCAGUGGUGAAAUCCUGCAGCUUAACUGUAGACUGGCCAUUGAUACUGGCGCUCUUGAGUGCGCUUGAAGUGGGCGGAAUGUGCCGUGUAGCGGUGAAAUGCUUAGAUAUGGCACAGAACACCAAUUGCGAAGGCAGCUCACUAAGGCGAUACUGACGCUGAGGCACGAAAGCGUGGGGAUCGAACAGGAUUAGAAACCCUAGUAGUCC
rnacentral:rRNA from 1 species